AAGAGAAACUCGAACGCGUCUCUCGGUCACUCCCUCGCCGCUGCUUAGAGAGGAUGGUCGGCUCCGUCAGUCUCUCCCCAAAUUUCGCGUUUUCAUGGGUAUAUCGAUUGAUGCCAACGUAGCCCGCACCUAAAUUCCAGUAAAAUGGAGCUGGUGUGGCUUCCUUGUCAACAUGACACGUGUAGGUGUGAGGAGUUGUGCUUCUAUAGGAAAAUGUCCUGAUCUUGCUAUCAAGUUUUGAAGGAUAUUUAUUUUGUUAAUCGGUUUCCAGGCCGACAUUGGUCAGUGAAUAUGAAUAUGGCUUUGAAGAUGGGAUGAAAGGGAAAUGUGCAAGCAGGAUUGGCUUGUCUGUAAAAUGAUAAAAGGAAGCUGGUGAUGUUUCAAGGCUACCAACAUGACCUGCUUGAAAGAUGUCCAGGGCUUGUAAGGUCAUAUUGAAGCACAUGGCUUAUCAGGAUGUGAAAGUUUAAAUUUGGUAUUUGGAGGUAACUGGCUGAUGGUAUUGACCAGUGCCUGUGAACAUGGUUAAAGAUGGAUUGACAGAAAUUAACGGGCAGAUUUGGCAUUAGCACUCUACCUUCAAAACGUGCUACAAGGAUGGCCCAGGAGUAGCCGUUAAGUUACCACCAGAGAUUGCAAAUAAACAUUAAUGUGA